rnacentral:rRNA from 1 species
AUUGAACGCUGGCGGCAUGCUUUACACAUGCAAGUCGAACGGCAGCGCGGGCUUCGGCCUGGCGGCGAGUGGCGAACGGGUGAGUAAUGCAUCGGAACGUGCCCAGUAGUGGGGGAUAGCCCGUCGAAAGCCGGAUUAAUACCGCAUACGACCUGAGGGUGAAAGCGGGGGACCGAAGGGCCUCGCGCUAUUGGAGCGGCCGAUGUCGGAUUAGCUAGUUGGUGGGGUAAAGGCUUACCAAGGCGACGAUCCGUAGCUGGUCUGAGAGGAGGACCAGCCACACUGGGACUGAGACACGGCCCAGACUCCUACGGGAGGCAGCAGUGGGGAAUUUUGGACAAUGGGGGCAACCCUGAUCCAGCCAUGCCGCGUGCGGGAAGAAGGCCUUCGGGUUGUAAACCGCUUUUGUUCGGGAAGAAAUCCUCUGGGCUAAUACCCCGGGGGGAUGACGGUACCGGAAGAAUAAGCACCGGCUAACUACGUG